CGGCGAUGAUCGAAGUUUUGUGCAUGGCCGAGAUUUGCGGAGUGUGAUGUCGCCUGAGAAGGCGGGACCCAACGUCGCGCCGCUUAUCAGAAGAUGGAAGAUUGCACAAAGUCUGAGCUUU
rnacentral:snoRNA from 1 species